UACGGAGGGCGCAAGCGUUGUUCGGAAUCAUUGGGCGUAAAGCGCGUGUAGGCGGCUUGGUAAGUCGAGUGUGAAAUCCCGGGGCUCAACCCCGGAAGGUCGCUCGAAACUGCCUCGCUCGAGUCCCGGAGAGGAAGGCGGAAUUCCCGGUGUAGAGGUGAAAUUCGUAGAUAUCGGGAGGAACACCAGCGGCGAAGGCGGCCUUCUGGACGGUGACUGACGCUGAGACGCGAAAGCGUGGGGAGCAAACAGG
rnacentral:rRNA from 1 species